rnacentral:rRNA from 1 species
AGCCGAGCGGUAGAGAUCUUUCGGGAUCUUGAGAGCGGCGUACGGGUGCGGAACACGUGUGCAACCUGCCUUUAUCUGGGGGAUAGCCUUUCGAAAGGAAGAUUAAUACCCCAUAAUAUACUGAAUGGCAUCAUUCGGUAUUGAAAACUCCGGUGGAUAGAGAUGGGCACGCGCAAGAUUAGAUAGUUGGUGAGGUAACGGCUCACCAAGUCUACGAUCUUUAGGGGGCCUGAGAGGGUGAUCCCCCACACUGGUACUGAGACACGGACCAGACUCCUACGGGAGGCAGCAGUGAGGAAUAUUGGACAAUGGGUGAGAGCCUGAUCCAGCCAUCCCGCGUGAAGGACGACGGCCCUAUGGGUUGUAAACUUCUUUUGUAUAGGGAUAAACCUACCCUCGUGAGGGUAGCUGAAGGUACUAUACGAAUAAGCACCGGCUAACUCCGUGCCAGCAGCCGCGGUAAUACGGAGGGUGCAAGCGUUAUCCGGAUUUAUUGGGUUUAAAGGGUCCGUAGGCGGAUCUGUAAGUCAGUGGUGAAAUCUCACAGCUUAACUGUGAAACUGCCAUUGAUACUGCAGGUCUUGAGUGUUGUUGAAGUAGCUGGAAUAAGUAGUGUAGCGGUGAAAUGCAUAGAUAUUACUUAGAACACCAAUUGCGAAGGCAGGUUACUAAGCAACAACUGACGCUGCUGGACGAAAGCGUGGGGAGCGAACAGGAUUAGAUACCCUGGUAGUCCACGCCGUAAACGAUGCUAACUCGUUUUUGGAAUGUAAGUUUCAGAGACUAAGCGAAAGUGAUAAGUUAGCCACCUGGGGAGUACGAACGCAAGUUUGAAACUCAAAGGAAUUGACGGGGGCCCGCACAAGCGGUGGAUUAUGUGGUUUAAUUCGAUGAUACGCGAGGAACCUUACCAAGGCUUAAAUGGGAAAUGACAGGUUUAGAAAUAGACUUUUCUUCGGACAUUUUUCAAGGUGCUGCAUGGUUGUCGUCAGCUCGUGCCGUGAGGUGUUAGGUUAAGUCCUGCAACGAGCGCAACCCCUGUCACUAGUUGCCAUCAUUAAGUUGGGGACUCUAGUGAGACUGCCUACGCAAGUAGAGAGGAAGGUGGGGAUGACGUCAAAUCAUCACGGCCCUUACGCCUUGGGCCACACACGUAAUACAAUGGCCGGUACAGAGGGCAGCUACACUGCGAAGUGAUGCAAAUCUCGAAAGCCGGUCUCAGUUCGGAUUGGAGUCUGCAACUCGACUCUAUGAAGCUGGAAUCGCUAGUAAUCGCGCAUCAGCCAUGGCGCGGUGAAUACGUUCCCGGGCCUUGUACACACCGCCCGUCAAGCCAUGGAAGUCUGGGGUACCUGAAGUCGGUGACCGUAACA